AAAAAUCGACAGGGGAGCUUGUACAGCAGGCUGAGAGGAAGUAAUCGAACUUCGACCCUUUAACCUGAUGCGGAUAAUGCCGCCGUAGGAAGUUUGCAAACUUGCUGU
rfam:Clostridium sp. CAG:169 genomic scaffold, scf108